rnacentral:rRNA from 3 species
UCUCGGCUCUUGCAUCGAUGAAGAACGUAGUGAAAUGCGAUACUUGGUGUGAAUUGCAGAAUCUCGUGAACCAUUGAGUCUUUGAACGCAAGUUGUGCCCGAGGCUUUGUGGCCGAGGGCACGCCUGCUUGAGCGUCAUGGCUCAUCGCCUUUGCUCCUUGCUU